rnacentral:rRNA from 1 species
UACGUAGGGCGCAAGCGUUAUCCGGAAUUAUUGGGCGUAAAGAGCUCGUAGGCGGUUUGUCGCGUCUGCCGUGAAAGUCCGGGGCUCAACUCCGAUCUGCGGUGGGUACGGGCAGACUAGAGUGAUGUAGGGGAGACUGGAAUUCCUGGUGUAGCGGUGAAAUGCGCAGAGUAUCAGGAGGAACACCGGUGGCGAAGGCGGAUCUCUGGCCAUUACUGACGCUGAGGAGCGAAAGCGUGGGGAGCGAACAGGAUUAGACUACC